UCUGCUCCUUGAGGCGUUGCAGCCCGUCGUGUGGCGGUGCUGUGUCAUAAGGAGCACAGAGAAACUGGUGAAGGUCUGCACUGGGACUCUUGUUUGGAGUAGAGCUCUCAGAGUGAAAUCAUCACCGACAGA
ensembl:snoRNA